AGGCAUAGAAACUUAAAACAACUUGAGAUAGAAAUGGAUUUUACCAGUACCAUACAAAUCUGCACAUAAUUGGAAUUUGCUUCUGACUACAAGACAAAAUUCAUGUUUCAAUGAAUGUUGUUAUUUCGGUCAAGAGAAAUAUCAAUGAGUAAUAUACCAUUAAUGUCGACUAUAGGUUUUGUGUCGUUCCAUGCCUACAUUCGCAACUACAAAUCAUUAUCAAACCAAAAAACCAUCAAGAAAUUCUUUUCAAUCAAAGAUAUCAAAUUUCAAAACACUAAAUCUACUUACAUUUAUAACCUUCAUAUUUUGUGCAAUCCAUCAUUGUGAAUCCAACUAAAAUACAGAAUCAACCUUCAAAAUGUAAUAAAUAUUGAUUAACUCAAUUGACUUAGUGAACAAACCAUGAUGAAGAAUCUUAACUACUACUUCCCAUGAACACGUGAUUCCAAUGCAAAUAGAGUGAUAAACUCCCCACGUUUAUGCAUCUUUUAGAGUAAGUGACUAAAUUUCAAAGCAAUAACUAUGUCACCAAAGAAAAAUAUCAGAAAUUUUAGAAAUGAAAACCAAUGAAAUAAGAAAAGGUAAAUGAUUAUGACGUUACCUGGCUAUGGUGGAGAUUAUAUACAUUGUGACAUCAUCCAAAAUAGACAGAUAAAAGUUGCUUGAUUAAAUAGAAAAUUGCUCAUGCUUCUACGAUAAUCAGUAAGUUUGUGAAGAACACUUCUCAGUCUGCAGCUCAAUGGAGCAGUACUAAUUCUAGAGGGAUGGUGAGAUUAUGCCUAGCUUUUCCGUCACAUUCAUGACUUCAGAUUCUCUGCUGGAUUUUUUAGUGCUAACCUAUGCUAAACAUUAAAAUUAUAUUAAUGUAUUUUGAAGACACAGCAUAAAAACAACACAAAACAACCUAAUGGAGAAUCCAAACUCUACCUUAUAUAAAACCCGUAAAAUUGCCCCUCCUUGUUUCAUUCACAUUUAGUAGCCCCUUAAAAGAUCCAUGCAUGAACGGCUGUUUUGGGUUUAGUGUUUACAUUGCGUCAUUUUGCAGGACUUAGAGAAGUCAUUGAAAGAAAAAUAAUGACUCGAAAGAAAUAUAUUAUGCACCAUGUAACUAAAUGAAUUUUCUCUUAUUUUUCAAACUCAUCAUAUUCCUUCUUUUUUUCAUUCCAUACUUUUCCAUUAUGUUUUGCUUUACAUCGAUCUCAAAAUAUAAAGAAACUAUCCCUUUUUCGCAUGGUCAUGAAAAUAAAGUUUAAUAGUAUUUCUCAGUUUAAAGGUAGUUCAAAAGUAUUUGCACACAUGGACUAUGUAUGUGUUUAGACAUAUUGGACCACUUUUUUUCCUUUUCUCAUUGAGAUGAUUAAUUCAUGAACCAUGCAAUUCCAUAAGUUGGAACAACUGUGUCACCCCCACAGUGGUUAAAAUCAAGAUUUAACUUGUAAAAUUGUCCUAUCCAUGAUUUUGCAUAGUAUAACCGAUUCAAAUAUCACGCAUGACCAUGACAUAGCAAAAUCGAACGGAUUGUCAAACAAAAUCGUGAAAUUAUGUAAAUCAACAUUUCUCCUAUAUUGUUUCAUUGUUCACCAUCUAAGGUGAAUGGAUUUGGUUCAAUUAAAACCUAAAACUAAUUAAAAGUUAAUAUGAUUAAAAUUUCACCCUGUUAUUUGUGUUGUUAGCAGCAAAAAUACCCAAUUAACAGUUAAUGCAAUUAGAAUUCACGUUUUUUUUGCAGCCAAAAAACCGAAGUAGUAAUCACCACGGAAGCAUGCAACAGAGCCUCAAAUCACAGACAUUGAAACAAAACCACAAAAUAAAAUUCGAAAAAAAAAAAAUAGAGAAAGCAAGAAACAGUUAUUCAUCAUUUAGUCGAGGAAAAAACCUAGCAACAACGUCACCAUUGAUUACAGUAGCUAGCAACAACAUCACCAUAGAGAAAGCAAGAAACUUAUUCAUUAUCAAGCUUAGGAAAAAAGUGAAGACUCACUUGGCUUUGGGUUUAGGGUUUUGUCCUCGAGUAAAUGGAACCGCGAUUCUGGGUGGAUGAAAGAUAGCGGACGGGCGGCGGGUCUCCGGCGGCAGUGGUGGCCGGUGGGCACGAGAUGGUCACAGGCGGUGGUGGCUGGCUCUCAAACGCGUCGUCGACCGAAUGGAACCGCGAUUCUGGGUGGAGAGAAGAGCGCGGAAGGGCGACGGGUCUUCGCCGGCGGCAGUCCGGCGGCAGUGAUGGCCGGUCGGAAAGAGAUGGUCACAGGCGGUGGUGGCUGGUUCUCGAACCGGUUCGCUUCUCCCAAGUGUCGAAUGCCAAAAUUUAAGAAUCACAUUUCAAAUUCAAAAUCUCCCCUUUCU
rnacentral:lncRNA from 1 species